UACAGAGGGUGCGAGCGUUAAUCGGAAUUACUGGGCGUAAAGCGCGCGUAGGCGGCUUUGCAAGCCGGAUGUGAAAUCCCCGGGCUUAACCUGGGAACUGCAUUCGGGACUGCAUUGCUAGAGUACGGUAGAGGGGGAUGGAAUUCCGCGUGUAGCAGUGAAAUGCGUAGAUAUGCGGAGGAACACCGAUGGCGAAGGCAAUCCCCUGGACCUGUACUGACGCUCAUGCACGAAAGCGUGGGGAGCAAACAGG
rnacentral:rRNA from 1 species